CUAAAUUCCAGCUUUGGUGACAGAGCCGAGACGCUGUCUUUUAAAAAAGUGACAUGUACAUAAUGCCUGGCAUCUAGCAGUGACAGCACAGGCUUGGAGAGGAACUUGAGUCCAAGGCUUGAGCAUUGUGGCUUAUUGAGUGAGUCCCCUAUAAGGUGCCUGACUCCCCAGGGUGGAGACUGCAGGGUAAGAGUGAACAGGUCAACAGUCCCUGCCUGCAAGCACCUUACAGCUAAGGGAUAGAAUCAUUUGGCCCUUGAGUCCAGUCACCCUGUCUGAGUUCAUUCAGCAUGUUCACUUGUGUUUGCCAGGCACUGGGGCCACAAGGGCACAUCAUUCUAUACUCUGUUCUGCAAGGCUCACCAAGGGCAGGAGAAUCUGCCCAACCUUGGAUGCCAAGGCCAGGCCCGCCUCUCGUCCCUUCUCUUCCCAGGCCCCCCCGGCCUGCCACUUCAGUCAACUCCACUGAGGAGACUGCCACUACAGUUGUUGCUGCUGCCUCCUCCACCAGCAUCCCUAGCUCAGAGGCCACGACCCCAACCCCAGGAGCCUCCCCACCAGCCCCUGAAAUGGAAAGGCCUCCAGCUCCUGAGUCAGUGGGCACAGAGGAGAUGCCUGAGGAUGGAGAGCCUGAUGCAGCAGAGCUCCGCCGGCGCCGCCUGCAGAAGCUGGAGUCUCCUGUUGCCCACUGACACUGCCCCAGCCCAGCCCCAGCCCCUGCUCUUUUGAGCAGCCCUCGCUGGAACAUGUCCUGCCACCAAGUGCCAGCUCCCUCUCUGUCUGCACCAGGGAGUAGUACCCCCAGCUCUGAGAAAGAGGCGGCAUCCCCUAGGCCAAGUGGAAAGAGGCUGGGGUUCCCAUUUGACUCCAGUCCCAGGCAGCCAUGGGGAUCUCGGGUCAGUUCCAGCCUUCCUCUCCAACUCUUCAGCCCUGUGUUCUGCUGGGGCCAUGAAGGCAGAAGGUUUAGCCUCUGAGAAGCCCUCUUCUUCCCCCACCCCUUUCCAGGAGAAGGGGCUGCCCCUCCAAGCCCUACUUGUAUGUGCGGAGUCACACUGCAAUGCCGAACAGUAUUAGCUCCCGUUCCCAAGUGUGGACUCCAGAGGGGCUGGAGGCAAGCUAUGAACUUGCUCGCUGGCCCACCCCUAAGACUGGUACCCAUUUCCUUUUCUUACCCUGAUCUCCCCAGAAGCCUCUUGUGGUGGUGGCUGUGCCCCCUAUGCCCUGUGGCAUUUCUGCGUCUUACUGGCAACCACACAACUCAGGGAAAGGAAUGCCUGGGAGUGGGGGUGCAGGCGGGCAGCACUGAGGGACCCUGCCCCGCCCCUCCCCCCAGGCCCCUUUCCCCUGCAGCUUCUCAAGUGAGACUGACCUGUCUCACCCAGCAGCCACUGCCCAGCCGCACUCCAGGCAAGGGCCAGUGCGCCUGCUCCUGACCACUGCAAUCCCAGCGCCCAAGGAAGGCCACUUCUCAACUGGCAGAACCUCUGAAGUUUAGAAUUGGAAUUACUUCCUUACUAGUGUCUUUUGGCUUAAAUUUUGUCUUUUGAAGUUGAAUGCUUAAUCCCGGGAAAGAGGAACAGGAGUGCCAGACUCCUGGUCUUUCCAGUUUAGAAAAGGCUCUGUGCCAAGGAGGGACCACAGGAGCUGGGACCUGCCUGCCCCUGUCUUUUCCCCUUGGUUUUGUGUUACAAGAGUUGUUGGAGACAGUUUCAGAUGAUUAUUUAAUUUGUAAAUAUUGUACAAAUUUUAAUAGCUUAAAUUGUAUAUACAGCCAAAUAAAAACUUGCAUUAACAAUUGGUGGGGUUUGUGUCACAGAAUCGAUCAAAUCAGUGUCGGGCUCCUUGCUGUGGCUGUACACUUGAAAAUGGAAUGGAAUCUCCAGGAGUGAGGGUUUCCAUGGAAGCCAGCACUAUCCUUGGGGACACCACUGACCAUUAACAGAUUAGGAAGAUGUGCCCAUUUUACACACAGAGAAGCAGCCCAGAGUUCAGUGCCCUGCUUCAGGGCAGAGACCAAGUUGGGGAGUCAGGAACUGAAAGCUGUCUUAGCCAGUUUGGGGGUAGGGUGGGGUCUCAGGCCUUUGGCCCCUGUGACUCCAAGUAUAAGGCAUAUAUGAAGGCUAGUGAGCUGGGGUUGGGAUGGGAUGGCAGGGUGAAAGGUCAGCAUAUUCCUGCCUGCAAACCCCUCCCCAGCCUUGAUUGCAGGUCAGGAGGCUGCGGGGGGAUGUCCCUAUGCUGGCUGUGAGUUCCCAGCCACUCCCUUGUGGUCAGGCCAGCAAGUCUGGUCUGCAAUGGAACAGUGACCAAGAACGUGCCUCCUACCUCUCUAUCAGAGCCCGGGGCUAACGUGGGCACUCUGUGCCCCAGUGCCAGCACUGUACUUUGAACAGAAGAUCUCCAAGACCCAUGCCCGAGUCAUCUGUGUUCUCCAUAACCUGCACCAAACAAGAUCUGGCCUAGAGCAAAGGCUUGGGGAUAUUUGCAACAGUGAGCUUUGGAGGGCCAAGGAAACAAAGUGCCCAGUGGCUCUGCCCUGUGCUACCUUCCCCUAAACUGGGGUUGGGCUACUGCUUCCACCAAAUAACAACUAGAAUUUGAAUUGCUGAGCCCAAGGAAAGAAAAACAAAACAGGCCAAGGUGGACCAGGCACGUGGCUCAUGCCUAUAAUCCCAACGCUUUGGGAGGCCAAGGUGGGCGGAUCACUUCGAGUCAGGAGUUUGAGACCAGCCUGGCCAACAUGGUGAAACCCCAUCUCUACUAAAAAUACAAAAAUUAGCAGGCUGUGGUGGUGGGCGCCUGUAAUCCCAGCUACUCAAGAGGCUGAGGCAGGAGAAUCCCUUGAUCCCAGAGGUGGAAGUUGCAGUGAGCCAAGAUCAUGCCACUGCACUCCACCCUGGGCAACAGAGUGAGACUCCGUCUCAGAAAACAAAAAAGAACAGGCCAAGAUAGGAGGGAGAGAAAGCUGCUGACGCCCCCCAUUAGCCUGGUGAUCCCUAUUUGGUCUCCCACAUUAGGCACUCUCCCCCAGCAUGUACAUAGAGUUGUUUUCUCCUUUAUGCAAGCAAGGCCUGACCCCAAAGUCCUUUAGCCCUAGUUUCUGUAUCCCCUGUCUCAGGGGCUCCAACACCCACCUCCCUCCUCCUGAGGCCCCCUAGACUUGAUCCACAGGGCAUGCUGACAUGCAGGCUGCUCGGCUGGGCCUCAGAAGCCUUUCUCCAAGAGCCAGGCUUUAAGCUCCUGGUCAAAGUAGCCCUUGAUCCGUAGGGUACCUGUCACCUCAUUGACCUGGGUGACGGGUGUCUUCCCCAGCAGCGGGCUCAGAAAAUCUUCCACAUCUUUCUGC
rnacentral:lncRNA from 1 species